UGACUGCGUACCUUUUGUAUAAUGGGUCAGCGACUUAUUGUCUGUAGCAAGCUUAACCGUUUAGGGGAGGCGUAGGGAAACCGAGUCUUAAUAGGGCGCAUAGUUGCAGGCAAUAGACCCGAAACCGGGCGAUCUAUCCAUGGCCAGGUUGAAGGUGCCGUAACAGGCACUGGAGGACCGAACCCACUAACGUUGAAAAGUUAGGGGAUGAGCUGUGGAUCGGAGUGAAAGGCUAAUCAAGCUCGGAGAUAGCUGGUUCUCCUCGAAAUCUAUUUAGGUAGAGCGUCGUGUCUUACCCUGGGGGGUAGAGCACUGUUUGGGCUAGGGGGUCAUCC
rnacentral:rRNA from 1 species